CUCAGAUUGAACGCUGGCGGCGUGCCUAACACAUGCAAGUCGAACGCGAAAGUCCUUCGGGAUGAGUAAAGUGGCGCACGGGUGAGUAACACGUGGAUAAUCUGCCUUCAGACGUGGGAUAACGGCUGGAAACGGUCGCUAAUACCGCAUACGCUGACUGUUUUACUAUAGUCGGGAAAGAUGGCCUCUGCAUAUGCUAUCGUCUGGAGAUGAGUCCGCGUCCCAUUAGCUUGUUGGUAGGGUAAUGGCCUACCAAGGCGACGAUGGGUAGCCGGUCUGAGAGGAUGACCGGCCACACUGGAACUGAAACACGGUCCAGACUCCUACGGGAGGCAGCAGUGGGGAAUAUUGCACAAUGGGCGCAAGCCUGAUGCAGCCAUGCCGCGUGUAUGAAGAAGGCCUUCGGGUUGUAAAGUACUUUCAGUCGGGAGGAAGGUGUCAAGGUUAAUAACCUUGGCAAUUGACGUUACCGACAGAAGAAGCACCGGCUAACUCCGUGCCNGCAGCCGCGGUAAUACGGANGGUGCGAGCGUUAAUCGGAAUCACUGGGCGUAAAGCGCACGUAGGCUGUUUUGUAAGUCAGGGGUGAAGUCCCACGGCUCANCCGUGGAACUGCCUUUGAUACUGCUUAACUAGAAUCCAGGA
rnacentral:rRNA from 1 species